UACGUAGGGGUCCGAGCGUUGUCCGGAAUUAUUGGGCGUAAAGAGCUCGUAGGCGGUUUGUCGCGUCUGCUGUGAAAUCCCGAGGCUCAACCUCGGGCCUGCAGUGGGUACGGGCAGACUGGAGUGCGGUAGGGGAGAAUGGAAUUCCUGGUGUAGCGGUGGAAUGCGCAGAUAUCAGGAGGAACACCGAUGGCGAAGGCAGUUCUCUGGGCCGUAACUGACGCUGAGACGCGAAGCGUGGGGAGCGAACAGG
rnacentral:rRNA from 1 species